rnacentral:rRNA from 1 species
ACGUAGGGUGCGAGCGUUGUCCGGAAUUAUUGGGCGUAAAGGGCUCGUAGGCGGUUUGUCGCGUCGGGAGUGAAAGCCCAGGGCUUAACCCUGGGUCUGCUUCUGAUACGGGCAGACUAGAGGUAUGUAGGGGAGAACGGAAUUCCUGGUGUAGCGGUGAAAUGCGCAGAUAUCAGGAGGAACACCGGUGGCGAAGGCGGUUCUCUGGGCAUUACCUGACGCUGAGGAGCGAAAGUGUGGGGAGCGAACAGGAUUAGAUACCCUGGUAGUCCACACCGUAAACGUUGGGCGCUAGGUGUGGGAUCCAUUCCACGGGUUCCGUGCCGCAGCUAACGCAUUAAGCGCCCCGCCUGGGGAGUACGGCCGCAAGGCUA